GCUUUUUUAGCAAACCCCCCCAGUGCAUCAAAUUUAGAUUUUGAAGAUGUAGAGUCUUCUACAAAAAGCU
rnacentral:tRNA from 1 species